rnacentral:rRNA from 1 species
GUAGGUGGCAAGCGUUGUCCGGAUUUACUGGGCGUAAAGGAUGCGUAGGUGGAUAUUUAAGUGGGAUGUGAAAUACCCGAGCUCAACUUGGGUGCUGCAUUCCAAACUGGAUAUCUAGAGUGCAGGAGAGGUAAGUGGAAUUCCUAGUGUAGCGGUGAAAUGCGUAGAGAUUAGGAAGAACACCAGUGGCGAAGGCGACUUACUGGACUGUAACUAACACUGAGGCAUGAAAGCGUGGGGAGCAAA